CGAGUUAUGGCUGCCCAGGACGCGGCUGGACCAACAAUGGUGAAAUAGGGCGAGACACGUGGGCCGAACAGAACACAGGAGCUGCCCAUAACGAAGAGGCAUGCCUGUCCCGGGCCGUGGCGCAGUGGGACUACUGUGGGAAUGGAAGGGACGACACUGUAGUCAGCAUAUAUCGACCAACAGGUGCCCGGAAAAUUGCUGGUUACGGUUGUUGGAUAGAGGUUCCGAAAUGUCCCAAUGACCAUAACGUCAAGUCUCUGUUCUUCGAUGCAUGGGGAGAUACAAAUCAAGAUACAGGCGCGGACGAGCUGUCCUGUUUCUCCAGGGCGACCUACUACUGGCACCACUGUGGCUCUGACAAGUCCUCUCCAGUUACGGCACAUUACCGACCCAAAGCCACCUCGACAACAGUACCAUAAUCAGCUACAUACAUACAGAACUUUGCUAAACUUGAAAAUUACAAAAGUGAAUAACUAAAGCAUUAAUCUAUGCAAUAUCAAAAAUAAAAUAAGAUCACGGAUGCUCCAAAAAUGUAAGAUGGUUCAUGGUUUUCAAACGUAUGUGUGUUUGCGAGGUGUUUAACAUGUUUAUGGAGAACUUUGUCAUUAGCUCGCUCAUAUCGGAUUUGUGUCAUCUCUUAUCACAACGGACAUAUUU